GAGUCAUUGGGACUAAUGAUAAACCUAAAGGCGCAAUGAAAGUAAAGGUCCGCCUCGCGCGGACCGAGGGAGGAUGGGCCCGUCCACGGGCGGGCCCCGCACUCCCGGGGCGUCUCGUUCUCAUCGCGAGAUGAGGCGCACCCAGAGCGUACACGCUGGGACCCGAAAGAUGGUGAACUAUGCCUGGUCAGGACGAAGUCAGGGGAAACCCUGAUGGAGGUCCGUAGCGAUUCUGACGUGCAAAUCGAUCGUCGGAACUGGGUAUAGG
rnacentral:rRNA from 2 species